CCUAAGUAACCUCGGGUGAACAGGGAGGAGAGCCCAGCGCCAAAUGCCGGCUGUGUGGUGUGGCCACAAGCGGUCAGAACCAAGAUUCCUCCUGUCUGUAGCCUUACACUUAGGAAACUCAGUCUUGGCCACUGUGAACAGUCUUGGUACGCAGUCGCAGUCAGUCCGAGUUUUGCUCUCCCUUUCUGUAUUGUGCAGUGGAGUUCCUGGAGGCUCCUUUCUGCUGUGUCCUUGGGCUCCUCCCUCAGGAAUGACCUCAGGGCGCAGGAUAUCAAGUCUUAGGCAAGUUUACAUCUUGAGGGAAUGGAAGCAAGGUUAGAGGCAACUGUUGCAGCUCCAAUGGAAGCCUCAGGGUAACACUGACAGCUGUCUUCACUACAUGACCUGCUAGGGUCCCUUGGUUCUGUUCACCUUAUAGAGUUCUGCACAUCAGAACAGAGCGUCAGAUCCUGCAGGACUACAGUUAGAAACAGUUGUGAUCUGCCAUGUGGGUGCUGGGAAUUGAACGCAGGACCUCUGGAAGAACAGCUAUCCUAACCACUGAACCAUCUCUUGCCACCAUUCCAUAAGUUUUAAGGCUCUGCUUUCUAAAUGGUAGCUCCCCUCAAACUUUUCAGUUAGUCCUCCUGCUGUAAAAUCUGUUUGCCAAGAUGAUUUCUGUUCCUUACUACCAUAGAACCUUAAUGGGUUUUCAGGAUCUCAAAAGAGGCAUCAGGGGACGGAGGAAACCUGAGCAAAGGCACAUGAAUUAUAGCCAUGCCAGCCAACUUGUAGGUCACAACAUUUGAAACUACAAUUCUGUGACUUGUAUUAUUAUUCAGCAUGAAUUACUAUCGGGAUACAGUCGUUAGGUUAUAGUGUCUGCCUUAACAAUGUUGUGUUUGGUUAAAGACUUUUAAAGGGGCCCAUUUGCAGGGUCUGUAUCACAGACGUCUUCAUUGUUUUUUCCUUUUUUUUUUAAAUAUAGAACCUUAUUGUGUAGUCCAGACUGGCUUUGAACUUGAGAUCCUCCUGCCUUGACUUCCCAAAUGCUGAGAGUAAAAAUGUAUGCACUAUGCUGUACCAGACCUGUUUUGUUUUACUUUUUUUUUCUUGGCAACAUUUGUUCUGUGUAGCCUUUUUUGGGUGGGGUAGCCAGAUAUUGAUUCCUAUAACAGAGAGAGUAAAGAAUGCAUGACUUCCUGUUCUUGGAAAGUAUUACCUCAGCUCCCUGGGGCGUCUAUGACAAAGCUAGCCUCACGGUGAUUGAUGGGGCUGACUUUAGAUCCACAGAAUAAGAAAUGCUGACAUGUUACACUAAACUAAAAUAAAGCUUGGUAAGCAGAUAUCUACUGUGAGGAAGGCACCCAGUCUUUGGACAGCUUGCUUCUGUUAGGAGUUUAAAAAAUGCGGACACAAUCUCUGGUUCAGGAAUAAUUGUCGCCCACUGUUUCCUAGCAUUUCCAGGCUUUCCUUGACUUCUGGCCUCAUCAAACUUGGACUGUUUCAAGGUAGAUUGGCACUUCCAGUGACCCAUGGGUGGCACAGGCACCAACUGUCAAACGCUUCCAAUUUAAAGUCAACUUUGAGGUUAUUAAACUUGACCUGUGUUUCACCGCUUGAGAGCUCAGAAAAUAGUUGGAACAUAGCUUCUCAGGGAAGUUUGCUCAUUAUAUAGACGCUAAUGAUUUCUACAGCUGACUUGGAUACAAUAAAAUACUUGCAGAAUCUACUGUGUGAUCAUGAUGAAUGACCUACACGUGGUUUGCUUGACCACCAUGAUGAAGAAUGUUGACUUUCUUUGGCUUAGGCACAGGGCUGGUGGACCACUUGAUGUAGGGUCUUAUCUGAGACAGUAAUUUCAACCAAGCUCAUGAGUUUUCCUUCACAGCUUGCUGCAAUAGGUUUCCAGAAUAAAGUCCAAAAUUGUAGGAUUGCCUUCAAGGACCACCCCUCCCCCCACUUUAAAGAUCUAUUUCUUUAUUAUGUAUAUGGUGUUCUGACUACACAGAUGCUUGUACACCAGAAGGGGGAGCCAUAUGUCAUUCUAGAUGGUUGUGAGCCACCAUGUGGUUGCUGGGAAUUGAAUUCAGGACCUCUGGAAGAACAGCCAGUACAUUUAACCUCUGAGCCAUCUCUCCAGCCCAAGGACCCCUUUUAUGACUUUGUUCUUUCUGUGCCCUUCCAGUUAUCUUGUUAGUCCUAUGCUAGCCACAGCGGGCAACUUGCUCUGUUCUGAAAAUGCCCUGAACAUGGAAACAAACUUUCUGUUUGCUCAGGGACCUUUCCCCUCCUGGGUAAACAGGCUCCAACACUCGGCAGAGCUGUCUGAAGGAGCCCUUCACUCCAGCUGGAGCCCAUCCUGGAGCCACCCCAUGCCACUGGCACUGCAGUGUCUCUGCUGGAAGAAGACCAGCUAACGAUGUGGAGAAAGCAGAACCCUCCUCCACUGCUAGUGGGAGUGCAAACUUGUACAGCCACUUUGAAAAUUAUUCUGGCACUUUCUCAGAAAAUUGGGAAUAGUUCUACUUCAAGACCCAACUAUACAACUCUUGGGCAUAUACCCAGUUCUACUAUACAAGGACAUUUGCUCAACUAUGUUCGUAGCAGCUUUAUUCAUAAUAGCCAGAAUCUGGAAACAACCUAGAUGUCCCUCAACUGAGAAAUGGAUAAAGAAACUGUGGUACAUUUACACAAUGGAAUACUACUCAGCUAUUAAAAACAAGGAAAUCAUGAAAUUUGCAGGCAAAUGGAUGGAACUAGAAAAGGUCAUCCUGAGUGAGGACACCCACUCAGAAAGACACACAUGAGCACAACGUGGAGCCUGCAGCUAUGUUCUGGAGAUCUCGUGUAGCAUCAGACUGAAAGCACUUUCCUGGGAGUCUGCUGAAUUCACAGCCUUCUUGACCUCAUCUUCUCUGUUGUGCUUCCCCAAGACCUUACUCAUCUCCCUAGAGAACAGUUCCUGCACACAGAUCUUCACGUGGGAGCCUGCUUCAGGGGGAUCUGGUACAACAUGAGACAAUGCGAUGCUUUCCAAACAUCCCACAUGAUUUUCCUGAAUCGAGUUCGGCGAUGUGACAUCUGUAUUUUGUAUGCAGGAUAAACCUCUUUGUGGGCUGGAGGAGUCAUGGUUGAUUCUGGUACUUUCUCUUCUACACUGGGAAUAAGAGUUUGAACUAAGGAGCUAAAUGAACGAAGAAUUAAUGGGUUAGGGGUUGCUUUUCAUGUACCAAACAGGAAGUCUGUGUGUUUCUCGUUGUAACUCCAGCAGAUAAUUUAAGCCUCGUACCUUCAAACAACAUAAGCUUCAUUUGUGUAAACCGCUGCUAAGGAUGGAAUGACAGUGAUGAAUUUCACCUUGGGCUUGUUUUAGUUCUAAAGAAUUAGAUGAAUAAAGAUAAUACCUCCUCCUCUCGAUUAUGAUAAAUCACCUAUCAUUUACGCUGUGUUAGGGAACAAGGGGAGUGACUAAUUUUUUUUUUUGUCAGUUUUAAAAUUUAUCUUAGCCUGCACAGCUCUGGAAAUUGAGGGCAUAUAUUAUUUGUAGGCGACUGUGAGCUUGUAAUCAGUGUGGUUUGGUAAUGUGUCACCUAACUGAGGCCUGUUCAUUUUUCUAGAUAAUGGGGCACAGGCAGUAAUAUGGGAUGUGAGGUGGACUGGUGCUAUUUUGCUAUUCAAGCUGGACAUGAAAAUCAGUUUCCCAUUGAUUUGAUUUUUAUCUAUGCAGCAGGAAGCAGAUAAAGACAAGGAUUAAAGUGAUUAUUAAAUGUGAUUUCUUUUCUUAGUCAUUUAUCCUUAGAAACCAAUAAAUAUUAGCACCCUGUUGAAAAGUGAACUUCCUUUAGAUAAAACUUUCAUUUAGUAGGCCUGGUGUCACACCACUUUUAACCCCAGCACCCUCAAGGCAGAGGAAGGUGAAUCUCUGUGAGUCCCAGGUCAGGCAGGAUUACAUAGUAUGAGACCAUGUCUCAAAAAAUUUCCCUUUGUACAAGUGAUAUUAAUAUCCUAAUAUAUAUUUGCUAUUCAAUAAGCAACUGGGGGGCUGGAGAGAUGGCUCAGAC